UACGAAGGGGGCUAGCGUUGUUCGGAAUUACUGGGCGUAAAGCGCACGUAGGCGGAUACUUAAGUUAGGGGUGAAAUCCCAGAGCUCAACUCUGGAACUGCCUUUAAUACUGGGUAUCUCGAGUCCGAGAGAGGUGAGUGGAAUUCCGAGUGUAGAGGUGAAAUUCGUAGAUAUUCGGAAGAACACCCGUGGCUAAGGCGGUUCUCUAGUACGGUACUGACGCUGAGACGCGAAAGCGUGGGGAGCGAACAGG
rnacentral:rRNA from 1 species